rnacentral:rRNA from 1 species
UAGGGAAUCUUCCACAAUGGACGCAAGUCCGAUGGAGCAACGCCGCGUGAGUGAAGAAGGUUUUCGGAUCGUAAAGCUCUGUUGUUGGUGAAGAAGGAUAGAGGCAGUAACUGGUCUUUAUUUGACGGUAAUCAACCAGAAAGUCACGGCUAACUACGUGCCAGCAGCCGCGGUAAUACGUAGGUGGCAAGCGUUGUCCGGAUUUAUUGGGCGUAAAGCGAGCGCAGGCGGAAUGAUAAGUCUGAUGUGAAAGCCCACGGCUCAACCGUGGAACUGCAUCGGAAACUGUCAUUCUUGAGUGCAGAAGAGGAGAGUGGAAUUCCAUGUGUAGCGGUGGAAUGCGUAGAUAUAUGGAAGAACACCAGUGGCGAAGGCGGCUCUCUGGUCUGCAACUGACGCUGAGGCUCGAAAGCAUGGGUAGCGAACAGG